rnacentral:rRNA from 1 species
AUGAACGCUAGCUACAGGCUUAACACAUGCAAGUCGAGGGGCAGCAUGGUCUUAGCUUGCUAAGGCCGAUGGCGACCGGCGCACGGGUGAGUAACACGUAUCCAACCUGCCGUCUACUCUUGGACAGCCUUCUGAAAGGAAGAUUAAUACAAGAUGGCAUCAUGAGUCCGCAUGUUCACAUGAUUAAAGGUAUUCCGGUAGACGAUGGGGAUGCGUUCCAUUAGAUAGUAGGCGGGGUAACGGCCCACCUAGUCUUCGAUGGAUAGGGGUUCUGAGAGGAAGGUCCCCCACAUUGGAACUGAGACACGGUCCAAACUCCUACGGGAGGCAGCAGUGAGGAAUAUUGGUCAAUGGGCGAGAGCCUGAACCAGCCAAGUAGCGUGAAGGAUGACUGCCCUAUGGGUUGUAAACUUCUUUUAUAAAGGAAUAAAGUCGGGUAUGUAUACCCGUUUGCAUGUACUUUAUGAAUAAGGAUCGGCUAACUCCGUGCCAGCAGCCGCGGUAAUACGGAGGAUCCGAGCGUUAUCCGGAUUUAUUGGGUUUAAAGGGAGCGUAGAUGGAUGUUUAAGUCAGUUGUGAAAGUUUGCGGCUCAACCGUAAAAUUGCAGUUGAUACUGGAUAUCUUGAGUGCAGUUGAGGCAGGCGGAAUUCGUGGUGUAGCGGUGAAAUGCUUAGAUAUCACGAAGAACUCCGAUUGCGAAGGCAGCCUGCUAAGCUGCAACUGACAUUGAGGCUCGAAAGUGUGGGUAUCAAACAGGAUUAGAUACCCUGGUAGUCCACACGGUAAACGAUGAAUACUCGCUGUUUGCGAUAUACUGCAAGCGGCCAAGCGAAAGCGUUAAGUAUUCCACCUGGGGAGUACGCCGGCAACGGUGAAACUCAAAGGAAUUGACGGGGGCCCGCACAAGCGGUGGAGUAUGUGGUUUAAUUCGACGCAACGCGAAGAACCUUACCAGGUCUUGACAUUGAUCGCGAUCUGCAGAAAUGCGGAGUUCUUCUUCGGAACAAGAGUGACAGGUGGUGCAUGGUUGUCGUCAGCUCGUGCCGUGAGGUGUCGGCUUAAGUGCCAUAACGAGCGCAACCCUUGUUGUCAGUUACUAACAGGUUUCGCUGAGGACUCUGACAAGACUGCCAUCGUAAGAUGUGAGGAAGGUGGGGAUGACGUCAAGUCAUCAUGGCCCUUACGACCAGGGCUACACACGUGCUACAAUGGCGUAAACAAAGUGAAGCGAGAGUGUGAGCUUAAGUAAAUCACAAAAAUAACGUCUCAGUUCGGAUUGUAGUCUGCAACUCGACUACAUGAAGCUGGAAUCGCUAGUAAUCGCGAAUCAGAAUGUCGCGGUGAAUACGUUCCCGGGCCUUGUACACACCGCCCGUCACACCAUGAGAGUUGGGGAUACCCGAAGCCUGUGAGCCAACAGUUAAAUGAGGCAGCAGUCGAAGGUAGAAUCAAUGAUUGGGGUG